AUCCAGACUGCCUAGGUUUGAAUCCUCAUCCUGGUACUUGCUAACUUUGGCAAGAUACUUAUCUUUCUAACUUGGAAGAAGAUGCCCAAAAUUAAGAACAUGCCAAACAUUACCAUUAACAAUGCGGUGCCCUCUCCAAAUGUAAACUAUGUCCAUUGGAAAGUGCAUGGAGACUGGGUUACUCAGCUGAACUACUAGGAUUCUAUGAAAGCUGUCAUUUCCAGCUCCAUGCAUGGGCCCAGCGCUCUGGUAAUAGGUACUGCUUUUACACCUAUCAUGCUUGGUGCACUAUGGGAACAACAAAUGUCAAGCAAAAGACGAAAGAGAUAAGGAAUGUUAGAAAAGAUGUUAAGACAAGAAAAGGCCAAGCAUUCCUUGGUUUGCCCCAAAGGCGAGCAGAAUGUGAUCAAACAAUCUUUUGUAACUACAAAGGAGUCAAGACGUUUUCAUUCUGUAAGGAAAGAACUUGCUGCUGACAGGUGGAAAGAAUCAAAUAAUUAGAGUCUGGAAUGCUUAUCUGAAACCAACAGGUAGGCUGAGAAGCUGCAUGGCUCCAGUGAUCCACAUCCACAUAUCUGCUAAGGACAACAAAAUAUUUUCCAUGUCCACCAACAAUACGAUUAAGGUCUUCCCUCUUCUGUAUUUUGAUGCAUCCUCCAAGACAGGUUCAGAGAGGGAAGGUCUCAAAAGCCGGUGGGCUAAAGGUGAGCUCACAGCCUGCCUCUAACUCCCUGGCCCCCGAGCUGUGUGUGUGGGCACUGACACUGUUGCACUCCUGUGCCUGAGAGAGCCUCACCUGACACUUUCCCACCAAGAGCUCUUGGUGUGCUACAGGUACAACCCAGCCUUCAGGCACAUGGUCAGCUUCGCCCAAGCGUCUGUAAUGAAAAACAAAGUGAAGUCUGUGAUUGUACCUACUUGGAGGUGAACCAAACUAGGUGUAUCAUAGUUGUUGGGUGAGACAGAAGAAUAGUUGUGCAAGGACAUGCCACGUGACUUUCAUCACUUCUGGAAGCCACAGCCAUGCUGGCAGGAUGACUGAACCAUAGGCACAAGGAGGACAACCUCUGUGGCCUCCCCAGUUACGAUGGGGAGAUUAUUAUUUGAAAAGUCAUCUCAGGCCACAUCUCAUACAAGCUGAACACUUCCAGCCCCUCUGAUGGCCCAGCAGGCUCUCUCACCUUCUGGAGGCUAUUCUAUGAAGUGGGCCUCAUUGCAAACUUCGUGAAAGCCCCAGUCAGCAGCAUCUCGGUGACAGCAGGAGAUGCCCUUUCCUACCUGGCUAACCAGCGAGGCUUUGUGCAUGUCUAUGACAUCCAGGAGUAUGGUCUGCAGGGACAGGAGCUCCAGCCUGAAGGGCACAUGUCAGCAUGGUGACUAGUUUGGAGCUGAUAGAAGAAAAGUUUCUGCUGUCAUCCUCCCUUGACUGCACUGGGACCUUUGGGCAGAGCAGCCCCUGGGAUAUUUUCACUCCUGCCUCCUAGAGCCACCUGAGAGUCCCCUGUGAAGUUUUGACAGAUCCCCAGAGCAUGCCAGCUC
rnacentral:sRNA from 1 species